rnacentral:lncRNA from 1 species
CUUCAAGGUGCUGGGAUGGUGGUGUGCCCAGGGAGGGUAUGGACGCUGCACGGCACCCCCCACACCUUGCCCUCUGCAGCUCUUCCAUUUGGCUGUGCCUGAGUUGUAUCCUUUACAAUAAACUGCAUGUGUUGACCACCUACUAUGUGCCAGGCACUGUGUUGGGCGCUGAGGAUUCCACUGGACAGAGCUGGUUCCUGCCUUCAAGGAACACCAUGUCCUCGCAGAUGCUAACAACACAUCACACACUCAGCCUCCACAGCAGCCAAGCAGCCAAGCAGCCCUUCGACAUGGAGGCAGCAGACCUGGAGGAAGUCGGACACGUUAGCAACCUGCCUGCUCUGAUGGAUCCGGACAACGAUGCUAAUAGAGAAAUUUUCUGAGAAAGCAACAUUUCUAGACAGUAUUGGUGGAUCUGCCAGUCCAUAGGAUGCCAAUGUAUAAAAAAAAUAAGG